GCGGUUGUAGUUUAGUGGUAAAACUUCAGCUUCCCAAGCUGACGUCGCGAGUUCGAUUCUCGUCAACCGCU
rfam:Lactobacillus camelliae DSM 22697 = JCM 13995 strain DSM 22697 NODE_26, whole genome shotgun sequence.